GAGGAUGCGAGCGUUAUCCGGAUUUAUUGGGUUUAAAGGGUGCGUAGGCGGUAAAUUAAGUUAGUGGUUAAACGGUCGGGCUAAACCCGAUUUUGCCAUUAAUACUGGUAUACUGGAGUCCAGACGAGGUAGGCGGAAUAAGUUAAGUAGCGGUGAAAUGCAUAGAUAUAACUUAGAACUCCGAUAGCGAAGGCAGCUUACCAGACUGGGACUGACGCUGAAGCACGAGAGCGUGGGUAGCGAA
rnacentral:rRNA from 1 species